UCAUCACAUCCUGGGGCUGAAGUAGGUCCCAAGUGUUCGGCUCUUAGCCGAUUAAAGUGGUACGCGAGCUGGGUUCAGAAAGACGUGAGACAGUUCGGUCUCUAUCUAUCGUGGGCGUAGGAGAUUUGCGCGGAUCUGACACUAGUACGAGAGGACCGUGUUGGACAGACCUCUGGUUUACCAGUUGUAUCGCCAGGUGCACUGCUGGGUAUCUAAGUCUGGAUCGGAUAAGUGCUGAAAGCAUCUAAGCACGAAGCCGGCCGCAAGAUGAGAUCUCCUUUGAGGGUCGUUCUAGACGAGGACGUUGAUAGGAGGCAGGUGUAAAGGCAGUGAUGUCAAAGCCGAGCCUUACUAAUUGCCCGAAACUUUCGCUUU
rnacentral:rRNA from 1 species